AAGAGUUGCAAAACUCCCAAACCAUUGUGAACAUACCUUCAACGUUGCUUCGGCGGGUUGGCCCCGGUCUCCGGGGUCCCCGGCCCUACUCGGGCGCCCGCCGGAGGACCAACCAAAACUCUUUUGUAUGUCCCCUCGCGGACUUUUAUAAUUCUGAACCAUCUCGGCGCCCCUAGCGGGCGUUUCGAAAAUGAAUCA
rnacentral:misc_RNA from 1 species